rnacentral:lncRNA from 10 species
UUUGGAAUAUUUUUAGAAGGAAUGGUACCAGCUCUUCUUUGUACCUCUAGUAGAAUUCGGCUCUGAAUUUGGUUCCACUCUCCCCAUCACUUUCAGGUACACCAACCAAAGGAAAAACAUCCAGGCAAGUGGACAGCAUUUGCAACAGCCCAGCAAUAAGAAGGACCAUAUUCUACUUGGGAAAAGGUAAAGUCGUUUCAUAUGGACGGAGCCUGCCAGGAAACCUGUCAUUCAACCCUUUGCAAUAAAACAGCUCCUCAUGAAUGAAGCAAAAUAAAUCAGAAGUUGUGGGCUUUUAAACUCACUAAAUGAAAGCACAGCAUGCAUGCAGCCUCCCUCCAAAUUAAUCACCAGAUUAAAUGCAAGAUGUGCACACCAAAUCAAUAGCUUGUGACGGGGACCUCCUGCCUGUGCUUCAGGAAAAUUCCAUUUCCUUUCAGAUGUUGUCGCUUGAAAUGUCAGGAAGUUUCCAUUCAUCACCCGCCCUUGAAAAUGCCACCAUCACCAUACUUCAUGUUUCCUUGCUUUCUUUCUUCAGAGGAAUCCAAGCACCUUGCAGAGGGAGCCCACUCCUUGUCACAG